UUACGGGGGGAACGCGAAGAACCUUACCUACUCUUGACAUCCAGAGAACUUUGCAGAGAUGGAUUGGUGCCUUCGGGAACUCUGAGACAGGUGCUGCAUGGCUGUCGUCAGCUCGUGUUGUGAAAUGUUGGGUUAAGUCCCGCAACGAGCGCAACCCUUAUCCUUUGUUGCCAGCGGUUAGGCCGGGAACUCAAAGGAGACUGCCAGUGAUAAACUGGAGGAAGGUGGGGAUGACGUCAAGUCAUCAUGGCCCUUACGAGUAGGGCUACACACGUGCUACAAUGGCGCAUACAAAGAGAAGCGACCUCGCGAGAGCAAGCGGACCUCAUAAAGUGCGUCGUAGUCCGGAUUGGAGUCUGCAACUCGACUCCAUGAAGUCGGAAUCGCUAGAAUCUGUCGGAU
rnacentral:rRNA from 1 species